rnacentral:lncRNA from 1 species
AGGCACUAUUUUAUUCGCUUACCAAUAAUUAUUUGGAAUAUUUUAUCACUUACUAAUAUUUGAUUCACUAUUUUUUAUUACUAAUAUUAUAAUUUUAUUAUUAUUUUAUCAGGCAAAUUUGACUUACCAAUAAUUAUUUGGAAUAUUUUAUCACUUACCAAUAUUUUAUUCACGGUAAAUUUGACUUUAAUAAUGGCCGAUGUGUCUGGUCUCCAUCAGGCAAUAUUUUAUCACUUACCAAUAUUUGAUUAACUAUUUUAUCACUUUUCGUUCAACAGAUGUACACAACCAGAAUGAUUUAACGAAUGGAUACGCCUAAACGAUCUUAGUGAUGGGCUAAUAAUUCAUAGAAAAAUAAAAACAUUAAACAUCUGUAUAGUAUCGCUCACGUUCAAAAACAUUAAACAUCUUCAUAAUGUUGCUCAUUUCCAUCACUUCCUACAAAAAUCAACCAACUUCGUCAAAAAAAAAAUCCAUCAAAUUCAUCACAUCAAUAGCGACGGUUCUCAAGCGAGAGUUGAAGCUAGAGGUCCAUCGUUCCCAGAUGCUCCUCCGUUGGCCACCAGGAGGCUUGAUCCUUGCAAUGGAUGUGCUUCCGGCUUCGAAGCAUGGAGAAAUAGGCACCAGAGCUUAGGGAGCAGUUCCAACGUUAUCAGAAGACAACAUGACCAUUCUAAAAGAUCCCUCAGAUUUCAAUAGAAAAAAAUGAAUAAAACCAUUAAGAAAAAUUAAUCCAUCGCACGGUGAAAGGAGAUGCUCAUCCGUUUGGCGAGGGAGGCUAGAUCCGGGGCUCUCAAUCCAUCACGGAUUUGAUGCCACCACCAUCCAAGGUGGAAGCAUCCAAGAAGAUGGCAGACAGCAGGUAUCGCACACACCCCAUGGAUGGCAAGUACGCGCGUCGCUCCCCAGCGGGCUGAACACCGCUCGACGCGCGCUGCCCCUAUGGAAUCCCAAUCCACAUCUAUCGCAGAAUCUAACCUAUGGAAUCAUACACGUGAAAGCAUAUAAACCAUUAAAGAAAUUCAUAGAAACAUGGAAAACAUGUAGAAUGCAUAAAAACAUCCCGCGGACAACCUUUUCCCACACGUUAUAGUUCUAAGCAUACAUACAAAAUUAUGCACCAAAAUCAAGCGCAUAGAACCAUGUUCUUACAAGCAUAGAAAGUUACAGUCUAACCAUACAUAAAAACUUAUGAAUAGAAAUAUAGAUCGACGUGCUCAUCUAUCAGACCAAGAUCGACGAUACACUGUACUAUAGAGAGAAAAGAGCUAGUGAGGUCAGCAGCAUUUUGAGGAGGGAGCCACUUCACACAUGAGAUCUUACAGAUCUGCAUUUUGAGGUUAAGAGGAAAGGGACUCACCCUGCCAAUCUACAGCAAGCUGCUGCAGCAGGCCGUGCCCGCCGUGCGUUGGGGCCGCGCUGGGCUGCCGCAAUCCGCCCUGUUGCCUGCGGACCUUGCUGUUCCAUACUCUAUCCACG